UACGUAGGGUGCGAGCGUUGUCCGGAAUUAUUGGGCGUAAAGAGCGUGUAGGCGGCUAGAUAAGUCCGCUGUGAAAACUCGAGGCUCAACUUCGAGCUGUCGGCGGAAACUAUCUGGCUAGAGUCCGGAAGAGGAGAGUGGAAUUCCUGGUGUAGCGGUGAAAUGCGCAGAUAUCAGGAAGAACACCCGUGGCGAAGGCGGCUCUCUGGGACGGUACUGACGCUGAGACGCGAAAGCGUGGGGAGCGAACAGG
rnacentral:rRNA from 1 species